CGAGCGUGCAGUGCCGUGGGGGAGAGGGGGAAGACGGGAGAAGAGAAGAGAGUGGCUUCAUGGUCUCCUCACUCCUCCCCUCCCGUCUUGUCUUCUCCUGCCCUGUCCUCUCUGUGAAUCC
rnacentral:precursor_RNA from 14 species